UACGUAGGCGGGCGACUAAGUCAGAGGUGAAAUCCCACAGCUUAACUGUGGAACUGCCUUUGAUACUGGUUGUCUUGAGUUACAGUGAAGUAGAUAGAAUAUGUAGUGUAGCGGUGAAAUGCAUAGAUAUUACAUAGAAUACCGAUUGCGAAGGCAGUCUACUAACUGUAUACUGACGCUAAUGGACGAAAGCGUGGGGAGCGAACAGGAUUAGAUACCCUGGUAGUCC
rnacentral:rRNA from 1 species